rnacentral:rRNA from 1 species
UUUAUGGAGAGUUUGAUCCUGGCUCAGGACGAACGCUGGCGGCGUGCUUAACACAUGCAAGUCGAACGGUGAUGUCAGAGCUUGCUCUGGCGGAUCAGUGGCGAACGGGUGAGUAACACGUGAGUAACCUGCCCCCGACUCUGGGAUAACUGCUAGAAAUGGUAGCUAAUACCGGAUAUGACGAUUGGCCGCAUGGUCUGGUCGUGGAAAGAAUUUCGGUUGGGGAUGGACUCGCGGCCUAUCAGGUUGUUGGUGAGGUAAUGGCUCACCAAGCCUACGACGGGUAGCCGGCCUGAGAGGGUGACCGGCCACACUGGGACUGAGACACGGCCCAGACUCCUACGGGAGGCAGCAGUGGGGAAUAUUGCACAAUGGGCGAAAGCCUGAUGCAGCAACGCCGCGUGAGGGAUGACAGCCUUCGGGUUGUAAACCUCUUUUAGUAGGGAAGAAGCGAAAGUGACGGUACCUGCAGAAAAAGCACCGGCUAACUACGUGCCAGCAGCCGCGGUAAUACGUAGGGUGCAAGCGUUGUCCGGAAUUAUUGGGCGUAAAGAGCUCGUAGGCGGUUUGUCGCGUCUGCUGUGAAAUCCCGAGGCUCAACCUCGGGUCUGCAGUGGGUACGGGCAGACUAGAGUGCGGUAGGGGAGAUUGGAAUUCCUGGUGUAGCGGUGGAAUGCGCAGAUAUCAGGAGGAACACCGAUGGCGAAGGCAGAUCUCUGGGCCGUAACUGACGCUGAGGAGCGAAAGCAUGGGGAGCGAACAGGAUUAGAUACCCUGGUAGUCCAUGCCGUAAACGUUGGGAACUAGAUGUGGGUACCAUUCCACGGUCUCCGUGUCGCAGCUAACGCAUUAAGUUCCCCGCCUGGGGAGUACGGCCGCAAGGCUAAAACUCAAAGGAAUUGACGGGGGCCCGCACAAGCGGCGGAGCAUGCGGAUUAAUUCGAUGCAACGCGAAGAACCUUACCAAGGCUUGACAUAUACCGGAAACAUGCAGAAAUGUGUGCCCCGCAAGGUCGGUAUACAGGUGGUGCAUGGUUGUCGUCAGCUCGUGUCGUGAGAUGUUGGGUUAAGUCCCGCAACGAGCGCAACCCUCGUUCUAUGUUGCCAGCACGUAAUGGUGGGAACUCAUAGGAGACUGCCGGGGUCAACUCGGAGGAAGGUGGGGAUGACGUCAAAUCAUCAUGCCCCUUAUGUCUUGGGCUUCACGCAUGCUACAAUGGCCGGUACAAAGGGCUGCGAUACCGUAAGGUGGAGCGAAUCCCAAAAAGCCGGUCUCAGUUCGGAUUGAGGUCUGCAACUCGACCUCAUGAAGUCGGAGUCGCUAGUAAUCGCAGAUCAGCAACGCUGCGGUGAAUACGUUCCCGGGCCUUGUACACACCGCCCGUCAAGUCAUGAAAGUCGGUAACACCCGAAGCCAGUGGCCUAACCGCAAGGGAGGAGCUGUCGAAGGUGGGAUCGGUGAUUAGGACUAAGUCGUAACAAGGUAGCCGUACCGGAAGGUGCGGCUGGAUCACCUCCUUU